AUUAAUUUUGUUGCAGUUAAAAAGCUCGUAGUUGGAUUUCUUUUAUGUUAAAGGGUACGGAUGCAUGUUUCACUCUGUGAUUCACAUCUUCCUUUAAUAUGAAAUAUUUUGUGAUAUCUUGUAUUUAGAAGAUUCGUUUUAAUCAUUUAUUUGGUUAUUAUGGAGAUUCUAGUACAUUUUAAGGUAUUGCAUCGUUUACUGUGAAAAAAAUCAAAGCGUUCAAAGCAGGCUUUAUGCUCUCUGAAUGUCUCAGCAUGGAAUAAUAAAAUAGGUCUCAUCCUCAUUUUGUUGGUUUGCAAGGAAGAGAAAUGAUUAACAGGGACAGUUGGGGGUAUUCGUAUUAGAUUGUCAGAGGUGAAUUUCUUGGAUUUAUUUAAGACGAACAACUGCGAAAGCAUUUACCAAGGAUGUUUUCAUUAAUCAAGAACGAAAGUUUGGGGAUCGAAGAUGAUUAGAUACCAUCGUAGUCUAAACCAUAAACUAUGCCGACUCGGGAUUGUUAAUAGUUACUAAAUGACAUUAGCAGCACCGUACGCGAAAGCAUAAGUCUUUGGGUUCUGGGGGGAGUAUGGUCGCAAGGCUGAAACUUAAAGGAAUUGACGGAAGGGCACCAUCAGGCGUGGAGCCUGCGGCUCAAUUUGACCCAACUCGGGAAAACUUAGCAGGGCAGGACAAAAGUAGGAUUGACAGAUUGAGAGCUCUUUCUUGAUUCUUUGGAUGGUGGUGCAUGGCCGUUUUUAGUUGGUGGUGUGAAUUGUCUGGUUAAUUCCGUUAACGAACGAGACCUCAACCUACUAAAUAGUAGAACCAUUCUUACGGAUGGGGACUAACUUCUUAGAGGGACUUUUCGCUUUUAGCGGAAGGAAGUUUGAGGCAACAACAGGUCUGUGAUGCCCUUAGAUGUCCUGCGCCGCACGCGCGCUACAAUGAGCGGAUCAAUGGGCACUUCCUUAGUCGAAAGGCUUGGGUAAUCCUGAAAACCCGCUCGUGAUGGGGCUAGAUUAUUGCAAUUAUUAAUCUUCAACGAGGAAUGCCUAGUAAACGCAAGUCAUCAUCUUGCAUUGAAUACAUCCCUGCCCUUUGUACACACCGCCCGUCGCAUCUACCGAUGAAUUCUGCGGUGAAGUCUCGGGAACUUCUUUUGGUUUCUUUCUCCGGAAAAAAAACCUAGAGAGGUGAACUUGCCUAAACCUUAGCAUUUAGAGGAAGAU
rnacentral:rRNA from 1 species